rnacentral:lncRNA from 1 species
UUAAGCGCAAGGCAUAACAGAGCGUGCCAACCCACAAAAAAGGUUACACAAUUGCGUGCCCGGGUUGAACAAACAAAUUGGAAUCAGUGUACAGAACUGUGAAUACAGCGAUCAAGUGGAGAGCGGCUAUGAAGUAGUAGUUAAGUAAGUGUAAUUGUUGCCCAUUUUAUACGGUGUUGAUCGAUCCAAGUAGCAUUGUAGUCAAAUUAUGGCCUAUGUAAUAAACGUUCCACUCUAGUAUUGUCUUUUCACCUUCUAAAACUACUUGACAUUAUCAAAUGAGCAAUUUGAAUUUAUUCGCUAUAGCUAGAAUGCCUAAGGUAAAUAUGGACUUUGAUUUAUGAACAAAGUUUCUAAUUGGUUCACUAUUUUGUUUUGAUUGUAUUUUUUUUUACAAAACAAAAAAAAAAAAAAAAAAAAAAAAAAAACUUUAUAAAAUUCAUUCUCCUAUGUCAUAUGGCAUUUGUAGGAUAAUACUUCUUGUAUUAGUCCAUUUUAAUCUUUGUGGCCAUAGAACUACUCCUUCUUUUUGUGGUGCUUGAUAUUAUUUAUUCUUUUAUGAAUGACUUAUUACAAUUUACUAUUAUUUGAUUGUUUUUAAAAGAUGUUAGAAAGGUUUUUCUAUUUUCCAACAUCUUUGUACCAAGUGACAUCCAAAUUUGGAUAUUAUUUGUUGAUGUGUUAUAUAAUUAAUGGUGCAAAAAUGACCAAUAUAUAAUUUUUAAUGCAUAUUUUGACUAAAAUGGCAAAAUAUGAUAUUACACAAUACCAUUUAUUUCUUCUAAAAACAAACCAAGUUUUUUUACAUAUAUAUAUAUAUAUUAUUUAUUACCAAAUUUGGCAAGAUAAUGCUCUAUGUUAUCAACCUAAAUAAUCAUUUUUGAGUGGAAGUUGUUUGUAUUGCUUGUUGCAUCCAAAAGAUCUCUUAUCAUUCAUCACUUCCAAACAUCAAAGCUUUUAGAAGAUGGAGAGGGAUAAAAUCCAAUCUACAAUAUCUACGAGUUUUGGAUGUUCUACCUUUGUAGAAUUCUUAUACAACUACAUCUUUACCACACUUCCAUGGAUAGUGUGAUGCAAACUAUAUAAAAUGUCUUUAAUCUAAAAAGUCAACUUUUAAGCACUAAUAUUAUAUUUAUUAUUCUCUUUUGAGUUGGCACUCUUAGAACAAGUUAUAGUUGUUUAAUAUUGUACCAAAGCCAAAUAUAAAACCAUAGCUACAACUUUAAGCUACUCAAUGUGAUUUCAAGUAUCAUUAAAACAGCUUGUAUACAAUAUAUUAUUGCCAAACACAAUUUAUUGUAACACCCAAUCUUGCAUUGCAAUGACUAAGAAUCCUAGCUUUCAUGCUUGAACAACAUAUGUUGAUGUACAAUACCACAAUAUUUAUGCAAAAGCACAAUGAAAAAUAAAGUUAUUACAUGACAUGUUUCUUGAAAAUAAACUAAAGGCCAAUAUUAUUUACUUUAGCCAAAGCAUUUUACAUCUUAGUGUGAUUGAUUUGACUUCAACAAAUUUUAGAUGAACUUAGUUUAUGCUGAUUAGCAUAUAAGGAGAGGUGGUAGAACACAUAUUCACCGAAAACAACAGUAAUAAAUAAUAAAUAAAUGUUACUACCCACAAAGUAGUUUGGUAGGUAGUUGCAACCAUCCCCGCCCCAUCCAUGAAGACAUGAAAAGUCACCCCUAAUCUUCACCUCCUGGAUUAACAUCGAAUAAUAUAUGAGCACGUUGACAAUUCCAGCCCCGGCAUAUUAUUAGACCUGCCCCCCGGCAAUCCAAAUGGCGGCACGGCAGCCCCUUUCCCUGCAGCUACCACCACCAACCUGGGAUGCUCAUCCCGGCCCAGCAGCAGCAUCCUCCCCCGCCGCACAACACGACACACCGUGUGUGUCGCUGUCCCUCACCUCAACUCAAUGCUAUAACAUCCCCCCGCCGCCGCGCUCCCUCUCCACCUUCAUCACCCGCUCUCGUUGUCGUUGCUUGAGCACCCGGCUGCGCCACCCCGAGCUCCCCAUCUUCGCCCUUCCCCCAAUCGGACAGGGUGUCGGGGUUCCAUCUGCACUGCGCCGCAGUCCCAGCGCCAGCGCCAUGAAGCUCCUCGCGGUCGCAGCCGUGUCCUUGAUCCUGCUCGUGACCUCUCAGAUGGUGGUCACAUCCCACGCAGCCGGCUGCGACAUCCUCAAACUAACGCCGUGCGUUGCAGCCAGCAGGAAUGCCAAGGUGAUGCCGUCCAGGCAAUGCUGCUCCAACAUCGCCGGCAUGGGCAAGGGGCUUCCGGGAGCCAAGUGUCUGUGUUCUCUCCUGAGCCACCCUCUGGCCAGGUCGCAAGGGGUGGCUCCCCGGAUCGCUCUUGGCAUCCCCCAGAAAUGCCGCAUCGCCGUCCCGAGGGGCUUCGUGUGCCAAGGUACGCUUUCACGCCUCCUCCCGCGCUGAUGCAGUGUCUGUGCCUUCCAGCCGCCCGGGCGCCCCAGAGGGUGGGCUGUAGCAGCGAUCUCCCCCGCGUCAUGUGGUGUUGUGUUUGCUCCUGCUGCGUUGCGCUGCGUUGCGUUGCCUUGGGCGUGUGGGCUGUGAACAUGCUGGCGACAGUGGGUCGGGGAGUGCACCGCCUCGUUGGAUGCGGAGCCGAUCGCGAUGAUGGGCGGCCACUCACGCCUUUGAGUUGCGUGCUGUGCAGGAAUUCGCGUCCCCGGAAGCUGAGCUCUCAGGGUCCAAGCCGGAGCACCGCCGUGGCCACGUGGGGUGGGAGUGGACGGAAAGCUUCUGAGCGUGCAGCCGAGUAGAGUGGCAUUGUGUACUCCGCUGUGAAAGCGGGACAAUUAUUUAUAAAUGUGACAACGUCUUUCCGUGACAUCCGGCACGCAGUGCUGGUGUGACAGCCUUUGUAAUCGUAAUGUGGUGUGCGAUGCGUCCAACGCUGGUCCAGUCGUGUGGUGUGUUGUUGUACCCGUCAGGAUACGGUGCAUGGGAGUGUGUGUGAGACACAGAGCAAACGGCAUCACGCUGCAGGGGUUGUGGAAUUGUGGCAGCAUGGAACUGAACUGCGCAGCACCGGAUUUAGUCCGUCCGGGUGGAAACAAGACAGGCACACAGGAGUUGAUUAGAUAGGUUCUGACCUUAGAUCUGGUCGGGGGCGGAUACCACUUCGCAGCCGGAUGUUGAUGUUGCCUGAUGUACGAGGAAGCGAAACAGCUGUGUGCACACUCGGGUGGCGGUGACAACGCAUGGGAACCGAUUCGGCGAGGAUGAGGUCGUUGUGGAGAUCCCUGGCUGCGUGGCACUUCGUCAUGUCGUGGACUUGGUUGGAUUGAUUUGUUGUUCUAUGCACAGCCGAUUCUAACUUUAUCAGGUUUUCGGAGUGUCACUCAUUCCUCAGGAUAGAUGUUUCCAUGUAGAUUUAACCCUCUGCGUUGACGUUCGUUAUACACAUUGGGAAACUGUAACCGUGUUGAUGCCUACAACUUGUGUGAUCGAUGCUCGCAGGAAUUGAAAUGCUGGUAUAUAUUUUGACCGGCACAAUCUUAGAUGUAUCUGAGUUGCAUAUGUAUUGAUCGAAGAUAAGUAAUUUCUGAAUUGGUGACAGUUUCCACGCACACAUCAUUGCAGUAUGAAAGAGCAUGCAAGUGUGAAAUGAAAUCAAUCGUAAUUCACAGUUUGUGAUAAUCAGGAGAUUCCUUCUAGAUUGCAGGAUACACAUGUCCGUGUAGGAAGUGUGGACCUAAGAUGUGAAUGUUCUGUUGUUGUUGAGCAGGGCAGCUGGUUGUGUUAAGUUCUUCUGUGGAAUUCACUUCAAUGAAGUGGAACCGAGAUGUUUCGAAUAGGGUCCCUGAUAUGUUUUUCUGCAGAGUAGUACAACUAAGUUAUUCACACGUCCAGACGACAAAGCGAAGGCUUCAACGCGAAAGGUUCCCUGUGGUACGUAAUAUUGAUCCAACCAGGGAGACGAACUCGUGUGAGAAUUGGAUGGAAGAGAAUUGAUGCGAACUUGGUUGCAACUGAUAACCGGCAGCAAAGGCUUGAUCAAUAUUAAGCGCAAGGCAUAACAGAGCGUGCCAACCCACAAAAAAGGUUACACAAUUGCGUGCCCGGGUUGAACAAACAAAUUGGAAUCAGUGUACAGAACUGUGAAUACAGCGAUCAAGUGGAGAGUGGCUAUGAAGUAGUAGUUAAGUAAGUGUAAUUGUUGCCCAUUUUAUACGGUGUUGAUCGAUCCAAGUAGCAUUGUAGUCAAAUUAUGGCCUAUGUAAUAAACGUUCCACUCUAGUAUUGUCU